UCCUCUCCGGGGCCUUGCUGUGAUUCUGCAAGAAGCGGCAGCCGUCCUUAGCCAGUCUCUGGACCAUCCCUAGCUUGGACAAAUCCUCCUUAUCGUGCAGGAUGCACAUGCUGCCCGGCGGCAGUGUAGGGGACACAGAGAACACGUACCUCAGACCACAGUCCCACGACAUCACUGCCUUCCCAACCAGGACAGAAAAGAGCAAAGCCGAUGACUAGGAGCUGCUUUGCAAGGAGGCCCUUCAGUAAGGAAGCAGCUGAGGUGAGACAGAGACACUUUCUGAAACGAAUGGCAAAGUCAGGAGCCUGGACCCAAGGGAGACAUUCCUUUCACGUGGUCGGGGGCUGUCACGAGGACACAACUGCUCCUUUAGGUGUCAUGGCGACGUUUUCUCCUGGCUUUGUGCGCAUACAGGAAGUACAUAGUGUGUCCGGUGGUGAUGAAGAGCACAGAAAUGAGAACUAGGAUGCCAAAAUGCUGUGGCUGUGGAGCAGAGAUGACCAUUAUGAAGUGGAGCAGGUCCAUCAGGCUGGCCUGAUCCAGCUCCACCACUGGCGGUUUGAUUGAAAGAGCAGGAACGAUGCGGUACACCCGGGACAAGAAGAAGAACUCCACUAUGAGAGACACAAGGUUCCAUCCCAGGAUGAAACCACAUCCAACUACAUUGGAGGCCAGGGUCAUGACCUGCCCCACCACUAGCGGGGCCAGGAUGUUAGUCACCUGAUCUAUCCGCCUCAUCGUGGCAUUCAUUCCUUUUGUCAGGAUCACAGAGGCCCAGGUUAAUGCUUUGCGCAUAACGUGGCCAUUAACGGAGAGCCGGUCCUCUUACCAGCUAGGUGGCCCCGGUUGUAGCCAGUGAUGACUACGAUCCAGUCCCGCUGGAUGGCAAUUGUCAGCGCUGUGCUUGCCAGGUUUGCCACAUCUGCCAGGACGAUCACCACCGUAUAACAAACCACCUUGCGUAAGUUUUGCGAUGCAACAUGUUAUUAAGGAAGCACAAAAGAGUAGCCACAUAGCUCACAGCACAGAGGGAAUAAUCACAGCUAUUAUCCUAUCUUAUCGUUGAGAUACAGAAGAAAAUGUUGCGUAGUCUACUCACAGUCAGCCAGCCAUCCCAGAUCUGCUCAAUCCUUUGUUUGUAUGAGAACACCAACAUGAGCACAAUGCUACAUACUGUCACUGAGAUGUUCUGGAUGAAAAGAGAUGCAUGUGCCACUGAAAAAGAUGGGGGAAAAAAAGACUUGGUGUACUGAUGAUAUUUUCCUUUGCAAAACCUAACCCAGAUCUCAGUGUCUGUGAGCCUCAUGCCUUGCUGCUUGUCAGUCUAGAAAUCAAAUCAGGAACGGAUUUAUACUUGAGACGCCGGGGGGAAAUGCAAUUUACCACAUGGUGGGAUCGCAAACCAGCAUGUGUCCCGGCCCCAGGAUUGAGAUUCACUGAUUUAUAUCCUGCACGUCUAACAGAGUAAUGUAUGCUAAAGUCUGCAGGUGGCUGUGAAAUUGCCACGCAUACCUUUAUUCCGGGGAUUGCGGUCAACCCAGUCUCCAAUCAAAGCUCCGAGCAGGAGGACAGAGCCAGCCACCACCAGGCCAAAGACGGCGGUCAGCAGCAAGUUACGUCCAUACAGCUCAAUCAGGAACACGGAGAUGGCAAAAUGCCACAUUCGGUCACCCUGGAUAAACACAUAGAAGGACGUUGUAAUGUAAAUAGUCACUGAACGCAACAAAAAGGACAUAUUAUUCUGCCUGAAGUUAUAGUCCAGGACUAGGUUUUACUAUGUUGACCUGGAUAUAAGACAUUUUUCCUGAGAAACGGUGUCUUGAAUGGGUUAGAUGAGGGGUUGGCAACCUUUACUAUCAAAAGAGCCAUUUUUAAAAUGUUAUAGGCAAAGGAGUAUUUUUUAUAUGCACAUGCAGAAUUAAACUCUAUAUUUCUAUAAAUAUUUUAGUUGUAGGAACGUAUUCAUUAGGAAUGUGAAUCUUACAUCAACUUCCGAUUCCGAUUAUUGGGGUGACGAUUCGAAUCAAACACGAUUCUUGAUUCAACACAAUUCUCGAUUAAAACCGAUUUUCACAAUAUAUAUAUAUUUUUUUUAUAUGAAAAUUAUAUUAAAAACUUUUUUGUUACAGGCUACAAAAUUACAAUUUAUUACACCACUAAUUAAGGACCAAAUGAAAUAUAACAUAAGUUAUACGAGACUGCAAUUAUCUUCCGAUACUCCAAAAUAAAAACAGCUAAACACAAAUAAUAAAUAAAUGUUGUAUAAAGAGUCAUAGAUUAUCCCACAAACCCUGAAAGUUCAUAAAAAGACAGUGAGAGGUUUAUGAAUUUCUACUUUUUUCCACACUUUGAACCCUGCGGCUUAUAAAACGGUGCAGCUAAUUUAGAGAUUUUUCUUUGCUAUCGGCCAUGUUUUGUAUUCAACAAAUAGUUUUCAUAGUACACCCACAGAGACACUAAAAAGGUGUGUUAUUGUUUGUGGUAUAGCGCCACCUAUUAGACAUGGGUUGAAAAUGUACUUCGUGUUUCGUUCCUUGAACCAGCAUUAUCCCUCCUCAGCGUUUCUGCUCGAAAGGAUUCUUCAUUCAUCACUCCAAGCAAUGUUUAUAAGUUUUACAAUAUGACUAAUAUAAUUCAUACUUAGUAAACCGUCCCAUAUGUGAUGUCUGUAGGAGUGUUUUUAUAUAUCACAUAUCGUAAUGUUAUCAAGCUAGCGUUGUUAGCAUUAAAGAAUAUGCUAACACGUUUACAAGUGUCUGGUAGUAUCAUCGUUCUUUUUGUAUUGUUUCGGUUUCGUGAAUCCCAAAACGUCACUGUGGAGUUGCUGAGUCUGUUUAGCUGAUUGGAGAGCUAGCUUCCGUGGCUAGAGGGUCCAUGAUGCUGACUUAUUUUUUGUUUGAUCAGCCGUUUUACUGCCGUGUGACAGGCACCAUUUGUAUAUAUACACAUAUACAUUCUAAUUGAUUUAAAAAAAAAAAAAUCUAUUUAGGAACGGAAUGAGUAAGAUUUGCGAUUCUGAUAUGAAUCACUUUUAUUUUUUUCAGCACCCCUAGUGGUGUUAUUUCACUUAGGGUUUGCGUACUCAAGAAGCUGACGUCUUUCUCUGACGUCUCAAUUACGACACUCACACCCUCUCUUUUCUUUGCCUUCCUUACGUUCAUCCAAUCACCAACCAGGACACAUUCAUGGCCUCAUUGGCAAGAGAAAAUUAUAUAACUAUUUUAGAAACUUCUCCCCAAAGGAGUGUAUCGGAUGCCGGCUGGGGAAGUUGUGCAGCAGUAUGAUGGUGAACAUCACUCCCUGACGCCUUAAGAGUCAUCAGUCAAUGAGCUGACAGCUCAGAUUUUUGGCUUCUUGCCUACAACGCUAUCGUCUCACAAUCUGCUAAAGCCAGAAAGAAAGGCAGAAUGCUUUUUAAGGACCCUCUGCAAAAAUGUGAGUCUCCCACAAGGUUUUUGAACUGAACCAGCCCAAAUAAUGAAAAAGAGAGCACUUAAAAUGGAAUCUUGAGGAACACCAGUAAUAUAAUUAAGAAGUUGAACAAAUGACUACUGACUCCAUGUGAAGUAAACGAGCUACUGCAACACAUUAGUUACAUAAAUCACAUUACAAAAAAAAAUGUAUACUGCCAAAAAGAAGAGGACUUAAAGGGUUGCCUUGAGGAAGUUUAGAACCGAGUGUUCUACCUCUGUUUGUUAGCAAGGUUAAAGGCCUACUGAAAUGAAAUGUUCUUAUUUAAACGGGGAUAGCAGGUCCAUUCUAUGUGUCAUACUUGAUCAUUUCGCGAUAUUGCCAUAUUUUUGCUGAAAGGAUUUAGUAGAGAACAUCGAUGAUAAAGUUCGCAACUUUUGGUCGCUGAUAAAAAAGCCUUGCCUGUACCGGAAAUGGCGUGACGUCACAGGUUGUGGAGCGCCUCACAUCUGCACAUUGUUUACACUCAUGGCCACCAGCAGCGAGAGCGAUUCGGACCGAGAAAGCGACGAUUACCCCAUUAAUUUGAGCUAGGAUGAAAGAUUUGUGGAUGAGGAAAGUGAGAGUGACGAAUUAGAGUGCAGUGGAAGCGAUUCAGAUAGGGAAGAUGCUGUGAGAGGCGGGUGGGACCUGAUAUUCAGCUGGGAAUGACUAAAACAGUAAAUAAACACAAGACAUAUAUAUACUCUAUUAGCCACAACACAACCAGGCUUAUAUUUAAUAUGUCACAAAUUAAUCCGCAUAACAAACACCUCCCCCCUCCCGGCCAUAUAACCCACCAAUACAACUCAAACACCCGCACAACACACCCAAUCUGAACUCGGCGGCCAGAAUAGUGUCAUUCUUGAGCCGGAUUUGGCCCCCGAGUUGCCAGUUUAAUAACACUGCUUUGGGGCCAUUGUAGUUCAAUGAUUUAGAUUAUAAUGUAAGAAACAAAAGAAUAGAAAUUGUUCCUCACAGUAGUGCCAAAUUGUACUUCAUCAUCACGUCUUCCUUCCUUCCUUGGGUGUGUGAGUGUGGCUGCGUGUGUGUUUGAGUGUGUGUGUAGUUGAGUGCGCGUGUGCAUGCAUGCAUGUGUGUGUGUGUGUGUGUGUGUGUGUGUGUGUGUGUGUGUGUGUGUGUGUGUGUGUGUGUGUGUGUGUGUGUGUGUGUGUGUGUGUGUGUGUGUGUGUGUGUGUGUGUGUGUGUGUGUGUGUGUGUGUGUGUGUGUGUGUGUGUGUGUGUGUGUGUGUGUGUGUGUGCGCGUAGGAGAUGAUGCUUACCCACAUUGACAACGCUCCACUAACAUAGAUGAGGAACUUGGGACCCUUGAGGUAAGCUCACCUGGUAUACUCCUGGCUUUUUUGGCUCUGGCAUUCCUGAUGUGGUCAGGUUCGAACUCGACCACAACGCCGCCACACUGGGAGGACUCUGCUCGCUGGGACAUUGCCUAGGACAGAUGGAAAUGUCACCCAGAGUGGGCAGCACAGUGGUACAGGGGUUAGUGUGUGUACUUCACAAUACGAAGGUCCUGGGUUCGAUCCCCGGUCUCUGGGUCUUUCUGUGUGGAGUUUGCAUGUUCUCCCCGUGACGGCGUGGGUUCCCUCCGGGUACUCCAGCUUCCUCCCACCGCCAAAGACAUGCACCUGGGGAUAGGUUGAUUUUCAACACUAAAUUGGCCCUAGUGUGUGAAUGUGAGUGUGAAUGUUGUCUGUCUAUCUGUGUUGGCCCUGUGAUGAGGUGGCGACUUGUCCAGGGUGUACCCCGCCUUCCGCCCAAACGCAGCUGAGAUAGGCUCCAGCGCCCCCCGUGACCCCAAAAGGGACAAGCGGUAGAAAAUGGAUAGAUGGAUGGAUGGAUGGUCACCCAGAGUGUGUUUUUGCUCCAAAAAUAGGCUUAAUCAUAAUUUACAAAUAUGUGGUACUAAAACAUGAAAUGUCACCACAACCCAGGCUUUAAAAGUGCUAUUUGCAACUUGCUUACAGUUACAUAAAAAAAAAAAAAAAAGGCCUUAAAAAAACAUCCAAACACCUCCAUUAGGGUUUUAUAUACAUGAUGUAAGUAUAUAUGUAAUGUAGUAACAGGCUUAUUUAAAAUAACAAUUAAUAUUUACAUAUUUAGAUCAUUUUAAGCAUACGCAGCACAUUAAUUUCAAAAACGCAUCAUGAUGUUUGCUUAUUUUUUUCUUCAUCACUGAUUAUUACUCACUGCAGACUUUAUGA